AUCCAACUGAAGUGUACAAUACAGGACGAGACGCGAGUCUUGGAU
rnacentral:hammerhead_ribozyme from 1 species